rnacentral:rRNA from 1 species
AUUGAACGCUGGCGGUAGGCCUAACACAUGCAAGUCGAACGCGAAAGUCCUUCGGGAUGAGUAGAGUGGCGGACGGGUGAGUAACGCGUAGGAAUCUAUCCUGUAGUGGGGGAUAACGUUUCGAAAGGGACGCUAAUACCGCAUACGCCCCACGGGGGAAAGCGGGGGAGCUUCGGACCUCGUGCUAUAGGAGGAGCCUGCGUCGGAUUAGCUAGUUGGUGAGGUAAAGGCUCACCAAGGCGACGAUCCGUAGCUGGUCUGAGAGGAUGAUCAGCCACACCGGAACUGAGACACGGUCCAGACUCCUACGGGAGGCAGCAGUGGGGAAUAUUGGACAAUGGGCGAAAGCCUGAUCCAGCAAUGCCGCGUGAGUGAUGAAGGCCUUAGGGUUGUAAAGCUCUUUUACCCGGGAUGAUAAUGACAGUACCGGGAGAAUAAGCUCCGGCUAACUCCGUGCUAGCAGCCGCCGCGGUAA